rnacentral:lncRNA from 1 species
CCUUCACAAGUGUCACGUCUUCAUCCCUUAUCCUCUGUGCCAGCCCCACGGGCGCGGGGACUUGUUCCCCGCUGGGUCUCACGGCAGGUGCAGUAACAUCUGUUGUUGUGUUGUGGAUGUGACGUCACUGCUCUGAGCCUCAGGCUUCUCACCUGCACAGUGGGAGGAUGGCGACCCCUGCAGUUGACCUGGGGACUCGGUGAGACUCCCCAUCCCGUCCUCAGUGCACGGCGACGCAGGCAGGGGGAGCGGCUGCCGUUCGCCUCUUUGCUCCCGGGCAGCUCGUGUAAGAGGUGGAGUCUGUGGACGUGACAGUGACGACGAAGCUUUGAUGACAAAGCUUUCUGCAGUCAAGCUUUAUUUUAUCAGAAGAACAAGAGAUGAUCAAAGAGGCUCAAGCGGCCCAGCAAGGAAAUUUCCAGAGGGACGAAGGGGCAGGAAGUGUCUCCUAAGACACCCACUGUUCUGUCAUCACUCCUCACCUAGAUGAUACGGCAGCAACCUCAUUUUGGAUGUUUGCAGUGUCCCAGGGCAAUGUGCGAUGAUCAAGGACACUUGAAGAAUGUAGCAAAUAUAAGAGGGGCCUGGCUGUCUGUGGCGUCCCCACCAGAGGUGGCCUGGAGAUGGCCUUGGCCAUCUUGGGAAGGCCCCCAGAUAUUGGCGGUGGCGCACAGGAAGGGGGAGGGGCCGAGACAGGCAGACACCGAUGGACUUAAGGGAACAAGUGACAGCUGGAAGAGCAUCAGAGGUGGGCAACCCUGACAAGCUCCAUGAGGACCCUGGUCCCUGGUGGCAGAACUGACAGACUCAACACCUGCG